GGGAGAAUGUAUAUUUAGUGGAAGACCAGCAUUGCCAUCAUUGUUUAAUUCUGAAUGGUCAAGGCUGGGCCUAGAAUCUGUAUUGGUACUGGUGUGUUCUUCAUGUGUUAUUUGUUUACAAUACAAUGCAGGUCAGGGACCUAAGAUUAAGCCGCUAAAUCAUCCUCCCUGUCCAUGAGGUCCAUUUGUAAAUUUACAAAUGGAUUUCAUUGAAUUACUAAAGGUAAUGCAGUAUCGGUAUGUGCUAGUAAUAUUAGAUACAUUCUCAGGUUGGAUUGAGGCUUAUCCUUGUUGCCUCGCCGAUAUGUCUACAGUGUUUAAGAAAUUGUUACAAGAAUUUAUACCCAGGUAUGGAUUACCUCGGCACAUUUACUCAGAUCAGGGAACACAUUUCACAGGAAAAGUAGUGCAACAGAUUGCAAAAAUUUUGCAAAUCCCUUACCAUUUACAUUGCUCUCAUCAUCCUCAGUCAGAAGGAGCAGUAGAAAGGGCCAAUGGAACAUUGAAAAAUAAAAUUGCAAAAAUUGUAGCAGAGACAAAGUUAAAGUGGCCUGAUGCACUUCCUCUUGCCUUAAUGUCUAUGAGAUUCUCUCCAGCUCGAAAGCAGGGUUAUCUCCUCAUGAAAUUCUAAUGGGAAGACCAAUGUUCACAGGAGGGCUACCUCUAAAAUUUAAUUCUCAUGAGAUAAAUGAUGAUUUGUUGAUGUCAUAUUGCAUGUAGCUAACAAAACGAUUAGUCUCUCUAUAUGCAGGUAAAAGCUGUACAGCGAACAAGUGAAUACCAACCUUUGCAUGCCAUCGCUCCUGGAGAUUAUGUUAUGAUAAAAGAUCAUUCACGAAAGCACGCGUUGCAACCAAGGUGAAAAGGACCUUCUCACGUGUUAUUAACCACUAAUCCAGCUGUUAAAGUCGCAGGGGUUAAAUCUUGGAUCCACAUUUCCCAUUGUAAACUGACAAGCGCUGAAAAAGAUUUUUUCACUGGAAGAAGAAUAGAGGACUAAGGAAGCCGUUUUCCCUUAUAAAAAGGGGUACUUUUUAAGGGGAGUAUCUUUCUAAUCCAAAGUCAACUCUACUGUUUUUCUUCAUGAAUCUCAAACUGGUUAAACGUAUAUUGUCCUUAAUGAUUGUCAUUAUGACAUUUUUAAAAAUUUUCAUCCUCUACACUACGUUAGCUCCUCUUUUUUUUCUUCUUAAAUACACGUGUAGUUUGGGCCGAGAACCCAAGUGAUUUUUCUUCAUGGGAGAUAGAUAAUCAUUUUGUUAAAACAGCUACUGAAUUGUAUAAAUUGUCAAACAAAAGUAAUCAUUGUUGGGUUUGUGGGUUUGCUCCGCAUUCCAUGAACUAUGGUUAUCCUUUUGUGGGGGUGCCAUGGUCUAUGGAAUCUUUAUGGGUCUUUGUGAGAAAAUAAGAGCAAAUAAAACGGGGUUUGUUGGAUUUAUUCAGAAUGAAGUAUCCAAAUCUGGGGAACCUGCUAAGGUUCAUUUAACAUAUCCCAUUACUAGUGGAGCAGUAGUAAUUUCUAACAGGGAUCAGAAAAGUCCUGCCAAGAUUGUUAAGCCUAUAAGCAAUGCUAUUGUUAUUUUUGAAAACAAUGUCCUUUAUAAUCUAUGUGGGUCUGAAACUAAUUCUGCCCCUUGUACUGGUAGAUUGAAAGCUUUUUGUUGGAAACCCUUAUUAGAAGAUAUUUUAACAAAAUGUCCCAUCAAGGAUAGAAUCCCGGUGAUUACUAAUCAUGUAUGGGUAAAUUUGACUUCUGAGGUAGAAAUCAUGGAUAAUAAUUAUGACCAGAAUGAACAUUUAAAUGUCACUAUUUUGAGAUGGGCCUACUUUAAUACUCAAACUUCCAAUCUUUUUAUGCUACUGCCCUAUAUUAAUCAACCUAUUUUUGACUGCUCAGAUUCUCGUGUUAUUGAUAUCCAUCUUCCAUUUGGGGUAUACUAUUUAUCUGGUAGUUGGGCGGUAAAAAGACUUCCAUGUAAUUGGGUGGAAACUUGUUAUCUAGGUAAUAUUAUCCCAGCGUUAACCCUUCAUGAAAAUUUGCCUGCAGGAAGGGUGAGGAAUAAAAGAAAGGUUAUUAGUUCCAAAAAAAGAUAAAACCGAAAGAACUGUAAAAUCUGGUGAAGGAGAUACGCUAUUUGCAGGUUUUGUACCUAAAGGGGGGGUUAUUGAAUUAAUGUACAAAUUAAACUUGUUAGGAGAUAUACUAGAUGAAGCCUUUAAUAAUACAGGAGAUGCUAUUGAAAAAUUGUCUGCAGAACAGGAACAAGCUUCAGCUAUGAUUAUGCAAAAUAGGUUUGCCCUAGAUUAUUUGUUGGCCUCCAAAGGUGGUGUUUGUGCACUAAUAAAAACAAGAUGUCGUUUAAAGAUAGAUAAUGUUACUGGUCAGAUUCAUACAGAUGGAGAUAAAAUGCAUGAAGUACAAAUUAAACUUAGAGAAGUUCACGAUACUUCUUCGGGAGGUUUAAAUUGGGGUUUUGACUGGAGUUUUGGUUUAACUAAUUGGUUGGGAACAAUGGGAAAACGUAUUCUCAUUGGAGUUAUUUUAGUAGUAUUGAUGCUUGUGUUUAUAUAUGUUGCAGUGGAUGUCCUAAAGUGUUCAUGCCGAUUAAUCCUUAAGAGCUGUUCACCUUCAUCUCCCCCUGGCACAAUUUCGAAUGUUGAAAUGUCUCCUAUCCGGUCACAACUCAUACCGACUUGGAAUACAGACAUGCUUUCUCGUGAAGAUAUUGAUCGUGUGCGCAUCUAUUUGGAAAGUCCUGCAAGUGCUGUUUAAAAUCACUAGCUCACUGAAUGACCUUCGCUAAACAUGGAAGUGUUGCACGGAGCUUUUUGUGGUGAAAGUCCUAGCACCAAAGGGAGGACUGUGAACAUAUGUAACCUGCUACUGACAUGCUGUCAGCCAUUUUGCUGUUUAUUCAUCAUCUUAAAAUAUAAUCAAAGAAGAAUAUUUACUCUAAGAAAUAAGAAGAAACUAUGUUUUAUUGCUACAAUUUAUUAAUGGAUGUCUGGACUGUUUUUUGGAUUGCAAAAGGAAAGGUUAUUUUGAAAGUGUGUCUUGUCAGAUGUUGCCAGGGGGGGAAAGGUGAAAUGUGUGCUUAAGUUGUGAAAGAGGAAGUCAGGUUUAUAUGUGUUAACUUUUAUCAUAGACAAGCGAUAUUUUAGGGAAGUAAGACGCAUGACUGUGGUCAAGUCAUCUGUUAGAAAGAUCAUGGGAUGCUUAAACUAUUGAACCUUAAAUUUGUCAGUUAUGCUAGAAUUUAGCCAAUAGGAAAUAAGACCAUAUUUGGAGUUCUGAUUCAAGCUAAACGAAAGGCCGGUUCCGGGUCAUAUGUAUAAAAUAUGAGGAAUUGUAACAUGAUGUUAGAUUGCUUCUUGCCAAUCUCCAUGAGAUAUCUCUGUGUAUUGUAAUGGUCAAUUAAACGCUUUUUAUUGAACCUGGUAAUAUUUUUGUCUACUUCCACACUGUCUUCCACUAGAUCACAUGCUAACCAACCCUUACUGGGUUUAUCUAACUUCUGUCCCAUCCUCCC
rnacentral:lncRNA from 1 species